UGCAGUCGAGCGAACAGAUGAGAAGCUUGCUUCUCUGAUGUUAGCGGCGGACGGGUGAGUAACACGUGGGUAACCUACCUAUAAGACUGGGAUAACUCCGGGAAACCGGGGCUAAUACCGGAUAAUAUUUUGAACCGCAUGGUUCAAUAGUGAAAGACGGUUUCGGCUGUCACUUAUAGAUGGACCCGCGCCGUAUUAGCUAGUUGGUAAGGUAACGGCUUACCAAGGCGACGAUACGUAGCCGACCUGAGAGGGUGAUCGGCCACACUGGAACUGAGACACGGUCCAGACUCCUACGGGAGGCAGCAGUAGGGAAUCUUCCGCAAUGGGCGAAAGCCUGACGGAGCAACGCCGCGUGAGUGAUGAAGGUCUUCGGAUCGUAAAACUCUGUUGUUAGGGAAGAACAAAUUUGUUAGUAACUGAACAAGUCUUGACGGUACCUAACCAGAAAGCCACGGCUAACUACGUGCCAGCAGCCGCGGUAAUACGUAGGUGGCAAGCGUUAUCCGGAAUUAUUGGGCGUAAAGCGCGCGUAGGCGGUUUCUUAAGUCUGAUGUGAAAGCCCACGGCUCAACCGUGGAGGGUCAUUGGAAACUGGGAAACUUGAGUGCAGAAGAGGAGAGUGGAAUUCCAUGUGUAGCGGUGAAAUGCGCAGAGAUAUGGAGGAACACCAGUGGCGAAGGCGGCUCUCUGGUCUGUAACUGACGCUGAUGUGCGAAAGCGUGGGGAUCAAACAGGAUUAGAUACCCUGGUAGUCCACGCCGUAAACGAUGAGUGCUAAGUG
rnacentral:rRNA from 2 species